AGAUUGAACGCUGGCGGCAUGCUUUACACAUGCAAGUCGAACGGUAACAGGCCGCAAGGUGCUGACGAGUGGCGAACGGGUGAGUAAUGCAUCGGAACGUGCCCAGUCGUGGGGGGAUAACGCAGCGAAAGCUGUGCUAAUACCGCAUACGAUCUAUGGAUGAAAGCGGGGGACCGAAAGGCCUCGCGCGAUUGGAGCGGCCGAUGUCAGAUUAGCUAGUUGGUGGGGUAAAGGCCCACCAAGGCGACGAUCUGUAGCUGGUCUGAGAGGACGACCAGCCACACUGGGACUGAGACACGGUCCAGACUCCUACGGGAGGCAGCAGUGGGGAAUUUUGGACAAGUGGGCGGAAGCCUGAUCCAGCAACGCGCGUGAGGAUGACGGCCUUCGGUUGUAAACCUCUUUCAGCUACAGACGAAGCGAAAGUGACGGUAUGUGCAGAAGAAGCGACCGACCAACUACGUGCCAGCAGCCGACGGUAAUACG
rnacentral:rRNA from 1 species